CGCGGGGUGGAGCAGUCUGGUAGCUCGUCGGGCUCAUAACCCGAAGGUCGGAGGUUCAAAUCCUCCCUCCGCAACCA
rnacentral:tRNA from 2 species